UACGGAGGGGGCUAGCGUUGUUCGGAAUUACUGGGCGUAAAGCGUACGUAGGCGGCUUUGUAAGUUAGAGGUGAAAGCCCGGGGCUCAACCCCGGAAUUGCCUUUAAGACUGCAUCGCUUGAAUCAUGGAGAGGUGAGUGGAAUUCCGAGUGUAGAGGUGAAAUUCGUAGAUAUUCGGAAGAACACCAGUGGCGAAGGCGACUCACUGGACGAUUGUUGACGCUGAGGUGCGAAAGCGUGGGGAGCAAACAGG
rnacentral:rRNA from 1 species